AUUGAACGCUGGCGGCAUGCCUAACACAUGCAAGUCGAACGGGGCAGCAAUGCCUAGUGGCGGACGGGUGAGGAAUACGUAGGAAUCUGCCCUUAAGUGGGGGAUAACCAGGGGAAACCCUGACUGAUACCGCAUGAUCUCUUCGGAGCAAAGAGGGGGACCGCAAGGCCUCUCGCUUCUGGAUGAGCCUACGUCUGAUUAGCUAGUUGGUAGGGUAAAGGCCUACCAAGGCGACGAUCAGUAACUGGUCUGAGAGGAUGAUCAGUCACACCGGAACUGAGACACGGUCCGGACUCCUACGGGAGGCAGCAGUGGGGAAUAUUGGACAAUGGGCGAAAGCCUGAUCCAGCCAUGCCGCGUGUGUGAAGAAGGUCUUCGGAUUGUAAAGCACUUUAAGUCGGGAGGAAGGGCUGUAGGUUAAUACCUUGCAGCCUUGACGUUACCGACAGAAUAAGCACCGGCUAACUUCGUGCCAGCCGCCGCCGUAAUAC
rnacentral:rRNA from 1 species